UUUUAGUUUUUUUUUAAAAGUAUUUUUUGCCCAAUGAUUAAUUUAAAUGGCUGCAGUAUAUUGACUGUGCAAAGGUAGCAUAAUAAUUAGUUCUUUAAUUGAGUACUUGUAUGAAUGGAUAGAUGAAGAAUUUAUUUUAUUUUUUUUAUUUUUAUAAUUUUAUUUAUUAGUAAAAAAUCUAAUUUUUUUUUUAGGGACGAUAAGACCCUAUAGAAUUUAAUAAUUUUUAAUUUAUAUUAAAUUUUUAGUUUUAUUUAUAUUUUAGGUUAAUAUUUGUUUUAUUGGGGUGAUUAAUAAAUUUAAUGUUCUUUAUUUAAUUUAAUUCAUUAAUUAAUGAUAAUUAACUUUUUUUUGAUCCUUAUUAAAUAAGAUUAAAAGAUUAAUUACCUUAGGGAUAACAGCGUAAUUUUAAUUAAAAGUUCAUAUUUAUGUUAUAUUUUGCGACCUCGAUGUUGAAUUAAGGUAAAAUUAU
rnacentral:rRNA from 1 species